CUCUGAUGAUUAUUAGUGUGUGACACCGACACACUCACACGCACACUUAAAACAAUGCUGUCUCUUAUUCUAAUGCUGUGGAUGCUCGGUCUGCUCGCACAAGUGUCUCAUCAAGAGGUUCAGUCUCCUGAGUCUCUGAGUGUUAAAGCAGGAGAGUCAGUCUCUAUGAGCUGCACUGGGACCAGUGGAGUUGAUGCUGACAUGAGCUGGUAUCUGCAGAAACCUGGAGAAGCUCCUAAACUCCUGAUCUAUAAAGCAAGUCGACUUCAAUCUGGAGUCCCAGAUCGGUUCAGUGGAAGUUAUUCUGGACUUCAUUUCACACUGAAUCUACGUGGAGUCCAGCCUGAGGAUGCAGGAGAUUAUUACUGUAUGGGGGCUUACAGUGGCAGGUCCACACAGUGAAACAACAUCAUACAAAAACCUCCCUCAGUCAGACACUACAGAGAACAUGAGAAUCAGUCUAGUUUCCCUGUACAACAGAUGA